CCCGGUGAUAUUUUAACGGCCGCAGUUAAAAGCUGUGCUAAGGUAGCGUAGUCAGUUGUCCUUUAAUUGGGGAAAGGAAUGAAUGGUUUGACGUAAAGAGUUCUGUCUCUAGAGAAAUAAAAGAAGUUUUCGUCUUAGUGAAAAGUCUAAGAUAUAAUUAAAAGACGAGAAGACCCUUUCGAGCUUGAAUAAAAAAAAUUUAGAUUAAAUUAAGUAAAGUUUAGUUGGGGCAACUAAGGAGUAAAUUUAGACUCCUUUAAGGAAAUGAAGAGCCAAAAUUUUUGAGAAAAAGAAAAAGCUACCGUAGGGAUAACAGCGUUAUCUUUUCUGAGAGAACAAAUUGAAGAAAAGGUUUGCGACCUCGAUGUUGAAUUAGAAUUUCCAAUAGGCGUAGAC
rnacentral:rRNA from 1 species